GGGGAAUUUUCCGCAAUGGGCGAAAGCCUGACGGAGCAACGCCGCGUGAGGGACGAAGGCCUCUGGGCUGUAAACCUCUUUUCUCAAGGAAGAAGAUAUGACGGUACUUGAGGAAUAAGCCACGGCUAAUUCCGUGCCAGCAGCCGCGGUAAUACGGGAGUGGCAAGCGUUAUCCGGAAUUAUUGGGCGUAAAGCGUCCGCAGGCGGCUUUUCAAGUCUGCUGUUAAAGCGUGGAGCUUAACUCCAUCAUGGCAGUGGAAACUGAAAGGCUUGAGUAUGGUAGGGGCAGAGGGAAUUCCCGGUGUAGCGGUGAAAUGCGUAGAUAUCGGGGAGAACACCAGUGGCGAAGGCGCUCUGCUGGGCCAUUACUGACGCUCAUGGACGAAAGCCAGGGGAGCGAAAGGGAUUAGAUACCCCUGUAGUC
rnacentral:rRNA from 1 species